CCGGGUUAAGUCCCAUAACGAGCGCAACCCUUACCGUUAGUUACCAUCAGGUUAAGCUGGGGACUCUAGCGGGACUGCCACCGUAAGGUGAGAGGAAGGUGGGGAUGACGUCAAAUCAGCACGGCCCUUAUGUCCAGGGCUACACACGUGUUACAAUGGUCGGUACAAAGGGUUGCCAAGCCGCGAGGUGGAGCUAAUCCCAUAAAACCGAUCGUAGUCCGGAUCGCAGUCUGCAACUCGACUGCGUGAAGUCGGAAUCGCUAGUAAUCGUGAAUCAGAAUGUCACGGUGAAUACGUUCCCGGGCCUU
rnacentral:rRNA from 1 species